rnacentral:tRNA from 1 species
UUGGCCGAUCGGCAAAGGCGCCAGCCUUCCAAGCUGGACAGGUGGGUCCGAGUCCCACGGCCU